UACGGAGGGUGCGAGCGUUGUCCGGAAUCAUUGGGCGUAAAGGGCGCGUAGGUGGCGGGACAAGCGUGCGGUGAAAGCCUGGGGCUCAACCCCGGGUCGGCCGUGCGAACUGUUUUGCUUGAGCACUGUAGAGGCAGGCGGAAUUCCGGGUGUAGCGGUGGAAUGCGUAGAGAUCCGGAAGAACACCGGAGGCGAAGGCGGCUUGCUGGGCUCGGUCUGACGCUGAGGCGCGAAAGCGUGGGGAGCGAACAGG
rnacentral:rRNA from 1 species